CCUAUUCCUCCUCCCAGAAGGCAAACCCACUUUUGGAGCCUCUCAGCUGGGCUGCAAAAAAGGGCUUGGAAUGAAGCUCGAAACACAUCCUAAUUCAUCUCUUUCUUGUGGAGGAAUGGAAACGGUUUCCAUGCAACCAGAUCAGGCUCCAGUGACCUUGAGGAAGUUUAUGUGAAUUUCACUGAGGAAGAAUGGGCUCUGCUGGAUGCAGACAAAGGGCUCUGUACAAGGAAGUCAUGGAUGAGAAUUUGGCCCAUGUGAUGUCUUCUGG